rnacentral:rRNA from 1 species
AUUGAACGCUGGCGGCAUGCCUUACACAUGCAAGUCGAACGGUAACAGGUCUUCGGAUGCUGACGAGUGGCGAACGGGUGAGUAAUACAUCGGAACGUGCCCGAGAGUGGGGGAUAACGAAGCGAAAGCUUUGCUAAUACCGCAUACGAUCUCAGGAUGAAAGCAGGGGACCGCAAGGCCUUGCGCUCACGGAGCGGCCGAUGGCAGAUUAGGUAGUUGGUGGGAUAAAAGCUUACCAAGCCGACGAUCUGUAGCUGGUCUGAGAGGACGACCAGCCACACUGUGACUGAGAAACGGCCCAGACUCCUACGGGCGGCAGCAGUGGGGAAUUUUGGACAAUGGGCGCAAGCCUGAUCCAGCCAUGCCGCGUGCAGGAUGAAGGCCUUCAGGUUGUAAACUGCUUUUGUACGGAACGAAAAGACUCUGGUUAAUACCUGGGGUCCAUGACGGUACCGUGAGAAUAAGCACCGGCUAACUACGUGCCAGCAGCCGCGGUAAAAC